GAUGAACGCUGGCGGCGUGCCUAAUACAUGCAAGUCGAGCGAACGGAUGAGAAGCUUGCUUCUCUGAUGUUAGCGGCGGACGGGUGAGUAACACGUGGAUAACCUACCUAUAAGACUGGGAUAACUUCGGGAAACCGGAGCUAAUACCGGAUAAUAUUUUGAACCGCAUGGUUCAAUAGUGAAAGACGGUCUUGCUGUCACUUAUAGAUGGAUCCGCGCUGCAUUAGCUAGUUGGUAAGGUAACGGCUUACCAAGGCAACGAUGCAUAGCCGACCUGAGAGGGUGAUCGGCCACACUGGAACUGAGACACGGUCCAGACUCCUACGGGAGGCAGCAGUAGGGAAUCUUCCGCAAUGGGCGAAAGCCUGACGGAGCAACGCCGCGUGAGUGAUGAAGGUCUUCGGAUCGUAAAACUCUGUUAUUAGGGAAGAACAAAUGUGUAAGUAACUGUGCACAUCUUGACGGUACCUAAUCAGAAAGCCACGGCUAACUACGUG
rnacentral:rRNA from 1 species